rnacentral:rRNA from 1 species
CGCUAUCACUCCUACGGGAGGCAGCAGUGGGGAAUAUUGCACAAUGGGGGAAACCCCUGAUGCAGCCAUGCCGCGUGUGUGAAGAAGGCCUUCGGGUUGUAAAGCACUUUCAGUCGUGAGGAAGGUAGUGUAGUUAACACCUGCAUUAUUUGACGUUACCUACAGAAGAAGCACCGGCUAACUCCGUGCCAGCAGCCGCGGUAAUACGGAGGGUGCGAGCGUUAAUCGGAAUUACUGGGCGUAAAGCGCAUGCAGGCGGCCUGUUAAGUCAGAUGUGAAAGCCCGGGGCUUAACCUCGGAAUUGCAUUUGAAACUGGCAGGCUAGAGUCUUGUAGAGGGGGUAGAAUUUCAGGUGUAGCGGUGAAAAUGCGUAGAGAUCUGAAGGAAUACCAGUGGCGAAGGCGGCCCCCUGGACAAAGACUGACGCUCAGAUGCGAAAAGCGUGGGGAGCAAACAGGAUUAGAUACCCUGGUAG